rnacentral:rRNA from 1 species
UACGUAGGGUGCAAGCGUUAAUCGGAAUUACUGGGCGUAAAGCGUGCGCAGGCGGUUGUGCAAGACCGAUGUGAAAGCCCCGGGCUCAACCUGGGAAUGGCAUUGGAGACUGGCGAGCUUGAGUGUGGCAGAGGGGGGUGGAAUUCCGCGUGUAGCAGUGAAAUGCGUAGAGAUGCGGAGGAACACCGAUGGCGAAGGCAGCCCCCUGGGCUGACACUGACGCUCAGGCACGAAAGCGUGGGGAGCAAACAGG